AGCGAACGCUGGCGGCAGGCUUAACACAUGCAAGUCGAGCGGGCAUAGCAAUAUGUCAGCGGCAGACGGGUGAGUAACGCGUGGGAACGUACCUUUUGGUUCGGAACAACACAGGGAAACUUGUGCUAAUACCGGAUAAGCCCUUACGGGGAAAGAUUUAUCGCCGAAAGAUCGGCCCGCGUCUGAUUAGCUAGUUGGUGAGGUAAUGGCUCACCAAGGCGACGAUCAGUAGCUGGUCUGAGAGGAUGAUCAGCCACAUUGGGACUGAGACACGGCCCAAACUCCUACGGGAGGCAGCAGUGGGGAAUAUUGGACAAUGGGCGCAAGCCUGAUCCAGCCAUGCCGCGUGAGUGAUGAAGGCCCUAGGGUUGUAAAGCUCUUUUGUGCGGGAAGAUAAUGACGGUACCGCAAGAAUAAGCCCCGGCGAACUUCGG
rnacentral:rRNA from 1 species